UGUCAGCAAAUUUACCUCCGUGUCAUGACAUCAUGACACUGCCAAUGACAUCUGCCAUGGUAGCCCAGUGGCUAUGGUGUUCCGCUGCUAAGCUCUAGGUCGCAGGUUUAAUUUUGGCCACAGCGGACA